rnacentral:rRNA from 1 species
AUGCAAAACCUGCUUCUCCCCAAUGCCGCCGCCGCCGCGCCCUGGUGCGCGCAGCCGCGGCGGCGGCCAUCCCGCCUCUCCGUGCGCGCCUCGGCGUCGUCACCGUCGGCGCCUCGGCGGGAGACCGACCCGAGGAAGCGGGUGGUGAUCACGGGGAUGGCCGUGGUGUCCGUGUUCGGGAACGACGUGGACGCGUACUAUGCCCGGCUCCUCGCCGGGGAGAGCGGCGUCGGCGCCAUCGACAGCUUCGACGCCUCCGGGUUCCCCACCCGCUUCGCCGCCCAGAUCCGCGGCUUCUCCUCCGAGGGCUACGUCGACGCCAAGCUCGACCGCCGCCUCGACGACUGCCACCGCUACGCCCUCGUCGCCUCCAAGAAGGCCCUCGAGUCCGCCUGCCUCGCCGCCGGGUCCAGCGCCAUGGAGAAGGUCGACAAAGAACGUGCCGGCGUGAUUGUCGGGUCCGGCAUGGGCGGCAUCACGGCCUUCUCCGACGGCGUCGAGAACCUCGUGACCAAGGGGUACAGGAAGAUAUCUCCCUUCUGCAUCCCGCACGCCAUCACCAACACGAGCUCCGCCAUGAUCGCCAUGGACGCGGCCGUCGGCUUCCGGGGCCCUAACUACUCGAUCUCCACGGCAUGUGCCACCUCCAACCACUGCUUCCACAGCGCCGCCGACCAGAUCCGGUUGGGCCGAGCCGACGUCAUGGUCGCCGGUGGCACCGAAGCCGCCAUCAUUCCAAUAGGGCUCGGCGGGUUCGUGGCGUGCAGAGCGCUGUCGCAGAGGAACGACGACCCCGGCACGGCGUCGAGGCCGUGGGACAAGGACCGCGAUGGCUUUGUCAUGGGCGAAGGAGCCGGAAUACUGGUCAUGGAAAGCCUCGAGCAUGCAAUGAGACGCGACGCUCCGAUUCUGGCGGAGUACUUGGGAGGCGCCGUAAACAGCAACGCUUACCACAUGACUAAUCCGAGACCAGAUGGCUGCGGCGUGUCGGUGUGCAUCAGGCAGAGCCUUGAAAACGCAGGCGUCACACCAGAGGAGGUCAAUUACAUAAAUGCUCAUGCAACCUCAACCCCCGCUGGAGAUCUUGCAGAGGUGAAUGCUUUGAAGCAAGUUUUCAAGGACCCAUCUCGGAUUAAACUGAACGCAACCAAGUCAAUGAUAGGGCAUUCCCUAGGUGCAGCGGGCGGUUUGGAGGCCAUCGCUACCAUCAAAGCAAUAACCACCGGAUGGGUGCAUCCUACUAUAAACCAAUUUAACCCAGAGCCGGAAGUUGAUCAAUUUAACACGGUGCGUAGUGUAAAGCAACAGCAUGAAGUACACGUUGGUAUCUCCAAUUCAUUUGGAUUCGGAGGACAAAAUUCAGUGGUGGUAUUUGCGCCAUUUAAGUCCUAA